rnacentral:rRNA from 1 species
GACGAACGCUGGCGGCGUGCUUAACACAUGCAAGUCGAACGGAAAGGCCCUGCUUUUGUGGGUCGCUCGAUUGCCGAACGGGUGAGUAACACGUGAGUAACCUCCCCUUGACUUUGGGAUAACUUCAGGAAACUGGGGCUAUUACCGGAUAGGAGCUCCUGCUGCACGGUGGGGGUUGGAAAGUUUCGGCGGUUGGGGAUGGACUCGCGGCUUACCAGCCUGUUGGUGGGGUAGUGGCUUACCAAGGCUUUGACGGGUAGCCGGCCUGAGAGGGUGGCCGGCCACAUUGGGACUGAGAUACGGCCCAGACUCCUACGGGAGGCAGCAGUGGGGAAUAUUGCGCAAUGGGCGGAAGCCUGAUGCAGCAACGCCGCGUGCGUGAUGACGGCCUUCGGGUUGUAAACCGCUUUCGCCUGUGACGAAGCGUGAGUGACGGUAAUGGGUAAAGAAGCACCGGCUAACUACGUG